rnacentral:ncRNA from 1 species
AAUGUGGUUCCGGUUAAAAGGGAAACAGGUGAAAAUCCUGUGCGAACUCGUCACUGUAAUAUUGGAGCAUGUGCCAAAAUGCCACUGGGAAACUGGGAAGGCGGCGCGUGUUAUGAUAAUUAAGUCAGGAAACCUGCCCGUUGUGUA